AUUGAACGCUGGCGGCAUGCUUUACACAUGCAAGUCGAACGGUAACAGGCCUUCGGGUGCUGACGAGUGGCGAACGGGUGAGUAAUGCAUCGGAACGUACCCAGAGGUGGGGGAUAACGCAGCGAAAGCUGUGCUAAUACCGCAUGUGAUCUGAGGAUGAAAGCGGGGGACCGAGCAGCAAUGUUUGGCCUCGCGCCUUUGGAGCGGCCGAUGUCGGAUUAGCUAGUUGGUGGGGUAAAGGCCUACCAAGGCGACGAUCCGUAGCUGGUCUGAGAGGACGACCAGCCACACUGGGACUGAGACACGGCCCAGACUCCUACGGGAGGCAGCAGUGGGGAAUUUUGGACAAUGGACGCAAGCCUGAUCCAGCAAUGCCGCGUGCGGGAAGAAGGCCUUCGGGUUGUAAACCGCUUUUGGCAGGAACGAAACGGUGUCCGCUAAUACCGGGCGCUAAUGACGGUACCUGCAGAAUAAGCACCGGCUAACUACGUG
rnacentral:rRNA from 1 species